GCGGGAAUAGCUCAGUUGGUACAGCACGACCUUGCCAAGGUCGGGGUCGCGAGUUCGAGCCUCGUUUCCCGCUCCA
rnacentral:tRNA from 1 species